AUAGCCCACCAUAGAGGCUCCUGGCUGGCCUGUGGACUCACAAGUGUAGGUAGUGUGCUACCGGCGGGGCAAAGAUUUUGCUAACAAUGGGUAGAACUUGUAGUAAUCCUUGCUACAAGU
rnacentral:snoRNA from 1 species